GUUCCAUCAAGAGUCGGCGGAGGGAUUGGCCCCAUGAUGCCGCAGCAACCUUCUAAAAGGAAAAGGUGCUAAGUCCAACAGCCGUCAGGCGGGAAGAUGGGUC
rfam:Anaeroglobus geminatus F0357 genomic scaffold Scfld19, whole genome shotgun sequence.